rnacentral:tRNA from 1 species
GGCCUCGUAGCUCAGUUGGCUAGAGCGUUGCUGCGCCGAAGCCUUUCCUUGCUGACGUGGGUUCGAAUCUCACCGAGGUCG